rnacentral:rRNA from 1 species
CCUACGGGAGGCAGCAGUGGGGAAUAUUGCACAAUGGGGGAAACCCUGAUGCAGCGACGCCGCGUGAGUGAAGAAGUAAUUAGUUAUGUAAAGCUCUAUCAGCAAGGAAGAAAAUGACGGUACCUGAGUAAGAAGCCCCGGCUAACUACGUGCCAGCAGCCGCGGUAAUACGUAGGGGGCAAGCGUUAGCCGGAUUUACUGGGUGUAAAGGGAGCGUAUACGGCAGUGCAAGUCUGGAGUGAAAGGCGGGGGCUCAACCCGCGGACUGCUCUGGAAACUGUCCGGCGGGAGUGCAGGAGAGGUAAGUGGAAUUACAAGUGUAGCGGUGAAAUGCGUAGAUAUUAGGAGGAACACCAGUGGCGAAGGCGGCUUACUGGACUGUAACUGACGUUGAGGCUCGAAAGCGUGGGUAGCAAACAGGAUUAGAGACCCUGGUAGUC